GACGAACGCUGGCGGCGUGCCUAACACAUGCAAGUCGAACGGGGUUGCCCUUCGGGGGUAACUUAGUGGCGAACGGGUGAGUAACGCGUGAGAAACCUGCCUUUCAGUGGGGGACAACAGUUGGAAACGACUGCUAAUACCGCAUAACGCGUAGAGGUCGCAUGGCCUUUACGCCAAAGAUUUAUCGCUGAAAGAUGGCCUCGCGUCUGAUUAGCUAGUUGGUGGGGUAACGGCCCACCAAGGCGACGAUCAGUAGCCGGACUGAGAGGUUGACCGGCCACAUUGGGACUGAGAUACGGCCCAGACUCCUACGGGAGGCAGCAGUGGGGAAUAUUGGGCAAUGGGCGAAAGCCUGACCCAGCAACGCCGCGUGAAGGAAGAAGGCCUUCGGGUUGUAAACUUCUUUUACCAGGGACGAACACAAUGACGGUACCUGGAGAAAAAGCAACGGCUAACUACGUG
rnacentral:rRNA from 1 species